rnacentral:misc_RNA from 1 species
GUGCAUGAAUGCUUGAGUUUAAUCUUGCAUCUUGAAUAUCUAAGCUUUUUUGUGAAGGAUAUCAAACCCGAAUUGAACUUUAUUUCAUGCUGUGCUAAAUUCUCAGCUAUUCAUUAUUGGCAAUAGUCAAAUUAUAUUUGCUUGAAUUUAGUAUAAAUGGAAAUGCUGCAAUGUAAUUCAGAAGCAUUCUUCAGUUUUCAUUUGCCUAUGCUAAUUUGAGUAUAGUCCGCCAUUACUUGUCAAUACUAGUAUUUCAUGUUAUUUUCCCUAAGAAAUUUUUGCUCCUAUCAAUUUUGUGAUGAAUUAUUUGAAGGUUCAUUAAGGUGAAAUGUAGGAAACUGAUGGCAAAUAGAAUGGUAGCUAGCCUUUUCCAACUGUUAAAUUGUUUUUCACUCCCAGGAAUUGGAGUAGUGGAAUCAAUCUGACUGUCUUUUAUUACAGGGGUUGAGUUUGGCUGUGAGUU